GGGGUGACUGUCUAUAUAGCGGAAAAGAAAGGCUCCGAAGGGUUGUAAAACGGGUAGUAGUGCACAUGUCCACGCAAAGGUGAAUAAGAGGUCAGUAAACUCUUCGACACACAUUCCUAUUUUGGAACUGAGCUGCCACAGUGAACUCUUCCUGCUGGAAACUGAUGCUGACUCCAGUUUCAUUCCUCAGAGAAAUCUGGCCCAAAAUUUCCUUCCAGCACAUUCAGUUUAAAUUAAACCUAAACUCUACAUUUUUCUUCAGGUUUGUCUUUGGUGUGCCCAGCCAUUUAUUUUUAUUAUACGUGUUAGAUUUGCAUCCCAUCUUUUGUGCCAGACUUCAAGGCAGCUGAUGUGGGGAUUUAACUUUACUUGAGCCCCACAACAACAGUCCUGUCAGGUAGGUCUGGCGCAGAGUUUCCAUGGCUGAGGAUGGGAGGAGUCUUCCUGGUCCCAGGAUCUGCAGGCCCUGACUGGUUAUAACAGCCCCGAUUUUUAACGUGUGGAAUUUUCUGAUGAUGAAUUUGCUUCACACAGAGGAAUCCUGGCCAGGAAAAGAUGGAACAUCAUCAUUCAGUGUCCUUGCUUGCAUACAAGAUUUGAAAGGAGGACCAGUUUUAACAGAGCCAUGCACAGCUUAGUCAUUCAUUGAACACAGAUUCUGACGUUAUGUACUUGUGCACGGUGUUGUGAUGCAUGUAUGGAAGGCAGAGCUUGUGCUGUGUUAUCACUAACACGCAUUUUGUUGCAUGGCAUCGUUGCGAUUUGGAAUGGAUGAGUGAAGCAGCGGUCCACUGGCCGCCCUUGAAGACUGGGUCAUUUCUGCCAGCUGCGAUGGAAGAGGAGGAGCAGCUUGGCUACUUGUGCAACUACUUGAUUUCAUGUCGUGGUGGUGGCAAUGGUUGGGAGCAGCCUGGAAGAAGUUGAGAUCCUUUGAGUUCAAAACUGCUCUUGGCUGCAGGUUUCAUUUAACCUUUGGGAGGACUUUAUAAGGCUGAAAUGUCCUGACUACGGAAAGUCCCCUGAAGCCUUCAUCUCUGCUGCCAGCAAAUGAGGAACUCACCUUGCACAAACCUUCAGAUACUGAAGAACUCAAAAAAUAUGGUCCGUGUAUUCCUAUGAAAUGCCAAGCUUGAUAGUAGUUUCCCUCUGAAUGAUCUGCUAUUUGUCCUUAAUAAUUUCACAACCUUUUCUAUGUGAAACUCUUUGACUGCUGUUACAAGUCAAAUGGUUUGGUUUGGUGAAGGCCACGCUUGGGGAGAUAAGCAUUAGCCCCCAGAAGGAGCGUGGGAAGGUGAAGAAGACUG